CUCAUAAGUAAUAAAAGGUUUGUUUAUGUCCCUUAACUUUAUUUAAAGUAUCGGUUUGGUCCCUUAUGUUAAUUUAAUUCAAAAAACCGUUAAGCUUAAAGACCAAACUAAUACUAAUUAAAUAAGUUAAGGGACCAAAAUUUAACGUUUCUUUGAAUUGAAUUAACAUAAGGGACCAAACCGUUACCUUAAACAAAGUUAAGGGACUUAAAUAGACUUUUUAUUACUUAUGGGA
rfam:Medicago truncatula strain A17 chromosome 8, whole genome shotgun sequence.